CGGGGCGUAGCGCAGUCUGGUAGCGCGCCUGCUUUGGGAGCAGGAUGUCGGGAGUUCGAAUCUCUCCGCCCCGACCA
rnacentral:tRNA from 9 species